AUUGAACGCUGGCGGCAGGCCUAACACAUGCAAGUCGAGCGAGCGGCGGACGGGUGAGUAAUGUCUGGGAAACUGCCUGAUGGAGGGGGAUAACUACUGGAAACGGUAGCUAAUACCGCAUACCAUCAGAUGUGCCCAGAUGGGAUUAGCUAGUAGGUGGGGUAACGGCUCACCUAGGCUACGAUCCCUAGCUGGUCUGAGAGGAUGACCCGCCACAGUGGAACUGAGAAACGGCCCAGACUCCUACGGGAGGCAGCAGUGGGGAAUAGUGCACAAUGGGCGCAAGCCUGAUGCAGCCAUGCCGCGUGUGUGAAGAAGGCCUGCGGGUUGUAAAGCACUUUCAGCGGGGAGGCGUUACCCGCAGAAGAAGCACCGACUAACUCCGUGCCAGCCGCCGCGUAAUUC
rnacentral:rRNA from 1 species